CUGCGCAUGAUGGAUAUCCCCAUGACAAUUCACAAAAGCUUGAAUGGAAACUGAAAUCUGAUGGUGGAAACCAAACGUUGAAGUAAUUUGAUAUGAUGAGAUCAUGUGUUGCAGACCUUCAUCAGAUGGAAACAAAGAAUGACUGAACAUAUAUGCCAGUACGUCGUAGGCAUCUAUCUAGCUUGCUGAGCAUUUGUUAGAGGUGCAAUACACAUAUACUUUCAAUCCAUACAAGACGAAGAAACGCCGAUUGGAAAAGCUGAUUCCAUUAAAGCAAAGAAUGGUGAUGUACCAAAGAAAGUGGCGUUCUGAUGAAUGUUAAAAGGUAUUCGAAGAACUAGACACCAAAAGUGCCACUCACAAAUCAAAGCUGUCUAAAAGGCAGAGCAUCAGAAGAAUUAGGAUAAAUAAGGAAUCCAAAAGAGACAAACCUAAUGAUGUAGCGAUUGAACAGAAAUGGGCUAUU